AAUAAGUGUAGUUUUACACUAUUCACAUUCAACGUUUGACCAUUCGUCUUAUUUGAAUUUUUUUUAUGAUUAGUAUUUUUAUUGCUAUUAGAUGAUAAAACAUGAAAGUGCUUUAUGUAUGACUAAAUUUUUUAAAUUUUUUCAUAAAUUUUUCAAAUAAGACGGACAAUCAAACGUUGGACACGGAUAUCCACGGCUGUAUUUAUU
rfam:Oryza glumipatula chromosome 2, whole genome shotgun sequence.